UACGGAGGGUGCGAGCGUUGUCCGGAAUCACUGGGCGUAAAGGGCGCGUAGGCGGCUUUGCAAGUCCGUUGUGAAAACUCGAGGCUCAACCUCGAGACGCCGGUGGAAACUGCAAAGCUAGAGUCCGGAAGAGGAGAGUGGAAUUCCUGGUGUAGCGGUGAAAUGCGCAGAUAUCAGGAAGAACACCCGUGGCGAAGGCGGCUCUCUGGGACGGUACUGACGCUGAGACGCGAAAGCGUGGGGAGCGAACAGG
rnacentral:rRNA from 1 species